rnacentral:rRNA from 1 species
UAGGGAAUCUUCGGCAAUGGACGAAAGUCUGACCGAGCAACGCCGCGUGAGUGAAGAAGGUUUUCGGAUCGUAAAACUCUGUUGUUAGAGAAGAACAAGGACGUUAGUAACUGAACGUCCCCUGACGGUAUCUAACCAGAAAGCCACGGCUAACUACGUGCCAGCAGCCGCGGUAAUACGUAGGUGGCAAGCGUUGUCCGGAUUUAUUGGGCGUAAAGCGAGCGCAGGCGGUUUCUUAAGUCUGAUGUGAAAGCCCCCGGCUCAACCGGGGAGGGUCAUUGGAAACUGGGAGACUUGAGUGCAGAAGAGGAGAGUGGAAUUCCAUGUGUAGCGGUGAAAUGCAUAGAUAUAUGGAGGAACACCAGUGGCGAAGGCGGCUCUCUGGACUGUAACUGACGCUGAGGCUCGAAAGCGUGGGGAGCAAACAGG